rnacentral:rRNA from 1 species
AUUGAACGCUGGCGGCAGGCCUAACACAUGCAAGUCGAACGAGUGGCGGACGGGUGAGUAAUGUCUGGGAAACUGCCCGAUGGAGGGGGAUAACUACUGGAAAAGGUAGCUAAUAACGCAUAUCAUCGGAUGUGCCCAGAUGGGAUUAGCUUGUAGGUGAGGUAACGGCUCACCUAGGCGGCGAUCCCUAGCUGGUCUGAGAGGAUGACCAGCCACACUGGAACUGAGAUCCGGUCCAGACUCCUACGGGAGGAAGAAGUGGGGAAUAUUGAACAAGGGGCGCAAGCCUGAUGCAGACAUGCCGCGUGGAUGAAGAAGGCCUUCGGGUUGUAAAUUACUUUCAGCGGGGAGGCGUUACCCGCAGAAGAAGCACCGGCUAACUCCGUGCCAGCCGCCGCGGUAAUUC